rnacentral:rRNA from 1 species
AUGAGCUUGUUGGCCAUUGGGAUUGUUAGUGCCAUUAAUGACUGCGUCACUUUGUUUCAGUGGGCCAAAUCUGCCAUUUCAUCUAUAAACUCUAAGUGGAGUGGCUCACAGGAGCAAAGUCUCCAGGACCGUGUAUUAAAGUUGGAGAGUGGCCUACAACUUCUCAAGGAUACUCUGCCUGCAAUGUAUGACCUCAUUAAUAAAGCGGAGUGGAGAAGCCAUGAACACUAUGUGGCCAAGCUCCUUCCGAGUCUCAAGGAUGCAGUGUCUGAGGCCGAGGACCUUAUUGAUGAGUUCAGAUGGUAUGAGAUGAAGUUGCAAGUGGAGGGCAAUGCAAGCCAAUCUCCUUUCAUUGACUUCUUGGAUACCAUCAUCCAAGGCAGCUUCAACAAACUGAAUGAUGUCCAAUUGAGGUUGAAUCAUCUUUCAAGUCAACUGGACAAUAUGGGGCUUCGUGGAGUUACACCACACUUUGACAAAUUAGUCAGGCCAGAGACCACUUCUAUGCCAAAUGAAGCAAAACUGUUUGGUCGUAACAAUGAGAUGAAGCAGGUAUUGGGACUUCUCAAGGUACCUACAAAUUUAAGACGCAGGCUCAUGGCUAUUUCAGAAAAUCCAUCAACAAGCGCAUCAGCAAGGAACCAAGUUAGUAAGUCAAGAAUAUUGAGUCUUCCUGUUUUGCCUAUAGUUGGAAUUGGUGGUGUUGGAAAGACUACUUUGGCCCAAUAUAUCUGCAGUAACAAGCGAGUGGAGUCAUACUUUGAGCCGAUAAUCUGGAUUUGUGUGUCAGAUGACUUCGAUGUGAAGAGGUUAACUAAAGAGGCCAUACAAUCUUGUACUGAAAAGGAGGUAACAAGUGAUAACUUGGAUUGUCUUCAGCUUGCUCUUUUUAAUCAUGUGAAAGAUAAAAGGUUAUUGGUAGUCCUUGAUGACAUCUGGGAUGAUGCCUCGAAGGAAAAUGGGCAAUGUUGGAAGAGGUUUUGUGCACCUUUUAGAAGUGUCCAAGAGGGAAGUGCGAUGUUGGUCACCACUAGAUGUUCAAAGGUUACUGAGGUAGUGCGCACACUGGAGCCCUUCAUAUUAGAAGGUCUAAAGGAUGACAUAUUCUGGAAUUUCUUUAAGACCUGUGUGUUUGGAUCUGAGAGUUCUGAGAAUUAUCCUGAGUUAGAAUGCAUUGGUAGAAGAAUACUUCCUAAACUGAAGGGCUCUCCUUUGGCCGCCAAAACUCUGGGACGCAUGUUAAGCAUGGACCUUCAAGAAUCACAUUGGAAAUUUAUACUUGAGAGUGAAUUGUGGCAGUUAAAAGAAAAGGAGACUGAGAUUUUGCCCGCCCUUCGGUUGAGCUAUAUGUACUUACCAUUUUAUUUGAAGCAAUGCUUCGCAUUCUGUGCUGUGUACCCUAAAGAUUACAUAUUCCAGAAGCAACACUUAGCUGAAAUUUGGGUAGCAGAAGGCUUUGUAGAGCCUCAAGGUGGUGUUCCAAUUCAAGAUAUUGGUUGUCAGUAUUUUGAAGACCUUGUAGCACGGUCCUUCUUUCGAAAAGUUAGUGGUGGAUACGUAAUCCAUGACUUGCUGCAUGACAUGGCACAACAAGUUUCAGAGCACGACUGCUUCAUCUUAAGAAACGAGAGUGACUUUGAUAAAGUUCCCCAGAAUGUCCGUCAUCUAUACGUACUCCCUAGCAGUGACUUUGACGAUUCCAGCUUGUUGAGACUAUGCAAGUACACAAAGCUGCGUACACUAAUUUGCAAGAAGGAUUUAGAGGAAAAAACAAGAUUUAUAAUGGACCAAUGGUGUACUAAACUUUUGUGCAUGCGUGUGAUUUCUUGUCCCUUCACAAAUGAGUUUCCGGAUAGUAUCGGCAAUUGGAAGCAUCUUCGGUACCUUAAAAUCUCCAGAUCUUGUCCUUUGAAGAGGAUUCCUUUAACUUUCUGUUGGCUAUAUUAUCUGACUUUUUUUAUGUUGGGGAAUGCAUUCUAG